GGAAGUAAAAGUCGUAACAAGGUCUCCGUUGGUGAACCAGCGGAGGGAUCAUUACCGAGUUUACAACUCCCAAACCCAAUGUGAACGUUACCAAACUGUUGCCUCGGCGGGAUCUCUGCCCCGGGUGCGUCGCAGCCCCGGACCAAGGCGCCCGCCGGAGGACCAACCAAAACUCUUAUUGUAUACCCCCUCGCGGGUUUUUUUUAUAAUCUGAGCCUUCUCGGCGCCUCUCGUAGGCGUUUCGAAAAUGAAUCAAAACUUUCAACAACGGAUCUCUUGGUUCUGGCAUCGAUGAAGAACGCAGCGAAAUGCGAUAAGUAAUGUGAAUUGCAGAAUUCAGUGAAUCAUCGAAUCUUUGAACGCACAUUGCGCCCGCCAGUAUUCUGGCGGGCAUGCCUGUCCGAGCGUCAUUUCAACCCUCGAACCCCUCCGGGGGGUCGGCGUUGGGGAUCGGCCCUGCCUUGGCGGUGGCCGUCUCCGAAAUACAGUGGCGGUCUCGCCGCAGCCUCUCCUGCGCAGUAGUUUGCACACUCGCAUCGGGAGCGCGGCGCGUCCACAGCCGUUAAACACCCAACUUCUGAAAUGUUGACCUCGGAUCAGGUAGGAAUACCCGCUGAACUUAAGCAUAUCAAUAAGCGGAGGA
rnacentral:rRNA from 1 species